GGUAUGUAAAGCUCUAUCAGCAGGGAAGAUAAUGACGGUACCUGACUAAGAAGCACCGGCUAAAUACGUGCCAGCAGCCGCGGUAAUACGUAUGGUGCAAGCGUUAUCCGGAUUUACUGGGUGUAAAGGGAGCGCAGGCGGUGCGGUAAGUCUGAUGUGAAAGCCCGGGGCUCAACCCCGGUACUGCAUUGGGAACUGUCGUACUAGAGUGUCGGAGGGGUAAGCGGAAUUCCUAGUGUAGCGGUGAAAUGCGUAGAUAUUAGGAGGAACACCAGUGGCGAAGGCGGCUUACUGGACGAUAACUGACGCUGAGGCUCGAAAGCGUGGGGAGCAAACAGGAUUAGAUACCCUGGUAGUCCACGCCGUAAA
rnacentral:rRNA from 1 species